rnacentral:rRNA from 1 species
GGACCCUACGGGGCGCAGCAGUGGGGAAUAUUGCACAAUGGGGGAAACCCUGAUGCAGCAACGCCGCGUGAGUGAAGAGGUCAUUCGUGAUGUAAAGCUCUAUCAGCAGGGAAGAAAAUGACGGUACCUGAGUAAGAAGCCCCGGCUAACCACGUGCCAGCAGCCGCGGUAAUACGUAGGGGGCAAGCGUUAUCCGGAUUUACUGGGUGUAAAGGGAGCGUAGACGGCCAGACAGGUCUGAAGUGAAAAUCCAGCGCUUAACGUUGGAAGUGCUUGGGAAACUGCCGGGAUAGAUUGCAGGAGGG